rnacentral:rRNA from 1 species
GGAAUCUUCCACCAUGGGCGCAAGCCUGAUGGAGCAACACCGCGUGAGUGAAGAAGGGUUUCGGCUCGUAAAGCUCUGUUGUUAAAGAAGAACACGUAUGAGAGUAACUGUUCAUACGUUGACGGUAUUUAACCAGAAAGUCACGGCUAACUACGUACCAG